UGAGAAGAGAUACUGCUGGGGAGAGGUAAUGGUGAGGAGAGGUACUGCUGGAGAGAGGUACCGCUGGGGAGAAAUACUGCUGGGCAGAGAUACUGCUGGGGAGAGAUACUGCUGGGGAGAUAUACUGCUGGGGAGAUAUACUGCUGGGGAGAGAUACUGCUGGGGACUGCUGGGGAGAUAUACUGCUGGGGAGAGGUACUGCUGGGGAGAGGUACUGCUGGGGAGAUAUACUGCUGGGGAGAGGUACUGCUGGGGAGAUAUACUGCUGGGGAGAGGUAAUGGUGGGGAGAGGUAAUGGUGGGGAGAGAGUAAUGGUGGGGAGAGAUACUGCUGGGGAGAGGUAAUGGUGGGGAGAUGUACUGCUGGGGAGAGGUACUGCUGGGGAGAGAUACUGCUGGGGAGAGAUACUGCUGGGGAGAGGCUGGGGAGAGGUACUGCUGGGGAGAGGUACUGCUGGGGAGAGGUACUGUUGGGGAGAGGUACUCUGGGG
ensembl:lncRNA